rnacentral:tRNA from 1 species
UGCUGGCACAGUGGUUAAAGCACUCGACUGCUAACCGAAAGGUCGGUGGUUCGAAACCACCAGCAGCAA